GAUGAACGCUGGCGGCGUGCCUAAUACAUGCAAGUCGAGCGAACAGAUGAGGAGCUUGCUCCUCUGACGUUAGCGGCGGACGGGUGAGUAACACGUGGAUAACCUACCUAUAAGACUGGGAUAACUUCGGGAAACCGGAGCUAAUACCGGAUAAUAUAUUGAACCGCAUGGUUCAAUAGUGAAAGACGGUUUUGCUGUCACUUAUAGAUGGAUCCGCGCCGCAUUAGCUAGUUGGUAAGGUAACGGCUUACCAAGGCAACGAUGCGUAGCCGACCUGAGAGGGUGAUCGGCCACACUGGAACUGAGACACGGUCCAGACUCCUACGGGAGGCAGCAGUAGGGAAUCUGCCGCAGUGGGCGAAAGCCUGACGGAGCAACGCGGCGUGAGUGAUGAAGGUCUUCGGAUCGUAAAACUCUGUUAUUAGGGAAGAACAAAUGUGUAAGUAACUAUGCACGUCUUGACGGUACCUAGUCAGAAAGCCACGGCUAACUACGUG
rnacentral:rRNA from 1 species